GACGAACGCUGGCGGCGUGCUUAACACAUGCAAGUCGAACGGAAAGGCCCUGCUUUUGUGGGGUGCUCGAGUGGCGAACGGGUGAGUAACACGUGAGUAACCUGCCCUUGACUUUGGGAUAACUUCAGGAAACUGGGGCUAAUACCGGAUAGGAGCUCCUGCUGCAUGGUGGGGGUUGGAAAGUUUCGGCGGUUGGGGAUGGACUCGCGGCUUAUCAGCUUGUUGGUGGGGUAGUGGCUUACCAAGGCUUUGACGGGUAGCCGGCCUGAGAGGGUGACCGGCCACAUUGAGGCUGAGAUACGCCCCAGACUCCUGCGGGAGGCAGCUGUGGGGAAUAUUGCACAAUGGGGGGAAGCCUGAUGCAGCAGCGCCGCGUGGGGGAUGGCGGCCUUCGGGUUGUAAACCGUUUUCGCGUGUGACAAAGCGUGAGUGACGAUAAUGGGUAAAGAAGCACCGGCUAACUACG
rnacentral:rRNA from 1 species